rnacentral:lncRNA from 1 species
UAACGGGAAGUUGGGCUUGAAUCAAUAGGAUCAUCCCUUCUCAGUCUUCGCUUCUGGUGUGUCCGGAAAGUGAAAGUUUCGAAGGGCGUAGCGAUCCUGACGUUUUAAGCGGAAGUCAACAACAAGCGAAGAGGCCAGUUUACAAAAUUUCGUUAUUACUGUGUUCUCUAGAUACCUGUUUGCGUUCUCUAAGAGGUUUAAGCGAUCCCAACGCGGAAGUUGACCACAAGAGUUAAAGUGCUCAAUGAACCACCGUGAAAACAGAGGGACGCAGCGGCAGAGGGAAGGAAAGUUUAAAGGACACCAGAGGCAUAUAAUUGAGAUAUCUGGUAACCCGCCCGCUGUGUAUGUAGAGACGCCAAGCACUUGGCUUGCCUCACUAGUUGUUUUGGCGUUAACGGUGGUAGCUAUUGUACCAAUCUGUACAAGUAGUUGGUGUUGGUCAAUGUUGUCAAUGAUUUACGAUGCAGUUUGGACGAAAUUAGCCGCCAAUUAAUUGUUAACAUACAAUUUAGAUUUAGAUGGCGUUCUUUAUUUGUUAGUAAAAAAUCAUUUCUGAUCUUUGAAUAGUUGAGUUGUGUUGUUUUAACUCGUAUUUCUCGCGAAGGAUGUAAAAAACCACACUGAACAGACUAGUAUACUUUCCAACCGACGAUUUAGAUAAAAAUGACGUUCUGUAUAUCAACAUGACUUGCUGUCUUUAGAUAGUAUUGUUAAGUUGUGUUAAAUUGUAUCUUUCAUGAAGCACUGCAAAAGCGAAAUGUAUCAGUUGGCAUGAACAUUUGUCUGUUUUUGUAUUAAGCUCCCCCUUCUCCCACACCCCUUCGCAAUCUCACGGCAGUUAGGUGUGGAAUCCUAAGUCCUCUAAUCUGAUUGGCUAAUUCCUUGCGCUCCAGCAGACCGGAUUUUUUCAUUCAGACCCCGGGUCCGCGGACCGCUCCGAGUGUUUCAGUUUGUUCUUUUGUAUCGUUUCAUGAGAGAGAGGCUUAAAGAAGUAAACAUUGUAAUAAGUGACUCAGUUAUGGAUGGAUUCAGGCAAUGAAAUCUAUCAAAGCGAAAACAAAGUUUAUUAUCCUGAAGAGGAAAACAUACUUCAAGAUAAAGAAAACUAUGGAAAGAAAAACAGCACUACCAAAUAAAACUGUUUGUUAAAAGAUUGUUCAGGUGAAUGUACAGAAGUACAAACUUGAAAGUGGACUCAGACGUCUCAAAUUCCUCAGCAAACUGUCAUCAAUAUGUUCAAACAAAUGCGUUUCCCUCUAAGUUUUCCCAAGUCACUGUCUUUAUCAAUCAUCUUCAGGAUUAGUCUCUCUGGACGAUCGUGUCGCAUAUUAAAAAAAUCAAAUGUUUCUCUCACAUCCAAUAAUCAAUCUAAAAACCAAUCAGACUUCUAGAGUUUGUAAUUUCAGAACUGUGAUUGACAAAUGAACAGGACUUAAAACCUUCGCUUUCUUCCAUUCAAGCCUUUUUUCAUACAUUCUCAUUCUCUUAAGAAGAGCUAAAGAUGAAUGCAUAAGCUUCGGCCAAUAAGGCAGAGGUGGGGCAUGCUUGGCAUUGUUUUCCGAUGUGUUAAGUCGACCUUAUGGCGGGGCUGGAGAAAGCAAACAGCCAAAUCCUAGCGAAUGCAUCGCAAUUUCGAAGGUUAGGUUGAAAUUGAUAACGUUUUAAUGUACGUUACUAUUAUGAUUAUUUUUUAUCAUCUUUUAGCUCUUAUAUUUCAAAACGUAGCGAGAUCUUUUU